UACGGGGGGGGCAAGCGUUGUUCGGAAUUACUGGGCGUAAAGGGCUCGUAGGCGGCCAACUAAGUCAGACGUGAAAUCCCCAGGCUCAACCUGGGAACUGCGUCUGAUACUGGAAGGCUAGAAUCCGGGAGAGGUGAGUGGAACUGCGAGUGUAGAGGUGAAAUUCGUAGAUAUUCGCAAGAACACCAGUGGCGAAGGCGGCUCACUGGCCCGGUACUGACGCUGAGGUGCGAAAGCGUGGGGAGCAAACAGG
rnacentral:rRNA from 1 species